UGCAAUUUGCAAAGCUAACUGGGGAGCGGGGUUUUGCAAAGGCUCCCGCCGAGGGAGGACGCGCGCCCACCCUUGCCUGCGCCUUCCUUCCCAACCCACCGCCUGCUUCCUUACCUUAGCGCGCAGGGCACAGGCCAGCAGCAAGAGCAGCGCCGGGCCGGAGAAGGCGAGAGGCGCGGCCAUGGUGCGCUCUAAUGCUCCAUGGGCAGCGGCGAGGAGGCGACAGCAGCGAGAGAGCUGCAGCCGCCCGAGCGCAAACCUGCAUGGCCGAUGUUUUCCCAAUCAGAAACAGAAAAGGAACCUGUUACUAAAGCUGCCAGAGUAUCCUGUGUUUGGACUACCUGGACAGGAGCUGGGAGUGUCCGCGUUGGUGAACUUGGCCCAGAGGAAGUCCCGCACUUUCUCUUCGACAUCCUGCAGGCUGCCUUUAGCUUCUAAUUUGUCGAUCUCCAGAAGAACAGUUAAAAUCAGCAACACGUCUUUGAAAGCCGCACUCUCGUGGUCACAGUACUUGUAAAAAAUCAAGGUGGAGCCAGCGGGCAGGGAUUCAAACCGAUGGACCACUGCUGCUUUCGCAUCUCCAUGAAAACCAUUGCUCAGUUCCGUAUCAACAGCCAGCUUGGCCUCAUCGCUGCUCAGAGUGGACUUAGAAGCGCCAUCUACUUGCACUGUGCUUCCCUGGAGAGAUGAGGAAUAAGCGUCGGCAAUCUGGACACUCAGGCACUUCAAGGUCGAUUUGCCUUCUUGGGCAGCAGUGAGGAUUAAGAUGGCUGGUUCGGUGUGGUAGGAAGUAUUGAGGUGCUUCUGAAGGACUUUCCGCACCCGUCCCCACAGGUGAGGGUUUUGACCUGGGAAGCUGUCCUUUAGGGGAUCAAAUCUUUGCAAGAAGGCCUCCACAGCUGGGUUUUUUGGCAUGUUUUUGGGCUCGGAAGUGUAGUAUCCGCUGCAGGCUAUGAAAACCGCAACCAAAGCCAAACCAGCUCCCAGUAAAAUGCCUACUAGAGAGGGGGUAAAAAAGGACAGACAAAAAAAAUGAUUCAAUUUAAUUGUACCAAAGUGCAAAGCAAAAUACACACAUGGCAAUGGAGUCAUGUUGCAACCUUGUUUAACUUUGUACUGAAAAUAUCUCCUACCUUAAUGGUUUCUUUAAGAAGUUUCUCGUGAUCUUCAAAAUGGGAAGGAGGCCUCAUGGUGAACUGAGCUUAUUCCUACUUCUUUACAUAAUCUGUUUCUUCAGGAGCAGUUGCAGUUACAUUGGUGUAAAAGGGCAGGAAUAAGGUCCCUUAAACAUACUUUGCAAUGGCACAGAGGGUUACUUUGUACCAAAAGGCUCCCUCCUGACCUAUACGAUCCCUCUUGCUCCCUUUCCAAAUUGAACCCAUUUAAACACCUUGCAACUAAUUCCCCAAGCUAGUGUUGUGGCUCUGCAACAAAUAAUGAAAUACCUUGGUACAAUGAUACAGGUAUGUCCUUCUAGGUACUACAGAGGAGCUAUUUGUUUAACUAAAAUAGCUACACAAGCAGUUGCCAUUUUCAGAGGCAGCCACAUCUUUGACAUAACAGAUUGAUCAUCAGUAAGAAAUCUGUUCAGGUGCUUUUAUUGCAAAUACCUCGGGACACACCUAGGAAUGUGCACAACUCUCCGCAAUCUAUUAGUGAUAGAGAAAUUCCAUGUAUAAAGGAGCACAUCAGAAGAUGGAGGGAAAGAUAGAAGAUGGGAUCCCAUCAGCUUUUUUGCUCACCUUUGCUCUGUCCCUCUUCAAAUUGCAGUCCCUGUUCCAUAUAGCUUUUGUCCACACAGGUACCUAAUCCCUGCCACAGCCUUUUCUGUAGUGAAAUGGGGCCCCUCCUCACUCUUUCACCAGCAGAAAAACUGAUAGGCUGCCAGCCAUAGUGCAACACUGGGCCAUUUCCUUGUUCUUUCCUACUACUAUUAUCUUUGAUGUUUGUAAUCUGAUUGGGCAACUGUUUGUUUAAGCAAUAACUUCUAACCAAUAGUAAAUACUAAGCUUUUGAACAUUAAACAAUCGGGAUGACAUUUCAAAUAGUGCAAGGACUGGAAUGAGCAGUUUCUGUGCAAAUAAAUGCAAUUGUUCAUCUUUUUUUGCCAGUCCUUUGCUUAUUUGAGGCCAAGGCUGUUCUCACCGUUGCUUAGAAAAGACCGAUGAUAAUUCUUCAUGCAUUCUUGCACUCGGCUCUGCUUCCUUACUUCUUGUGAAAGGCACUGGCUGGUAUCUUCUGGAGAGAGUUCAGUCUCUGUUCUGCACACAGGGUGCCCUGCAUUUGAGAAAAGGCACUUCAGUGGUCCUGGAAAUAACUUCUCCAGUUACUGAAAUUAAAGGGGUAAUGAGCAGGCUCUUUCAACAUACAGAUGGUAUGCAGAAAGAAGGUCAAGAUAACUUAUUUGGAUGGAGGUACUAUAAAUGACAAACUGAACAGGUCAAAUCAGACUUGUAGAUACCUCAAGGUGAGAAAGAAUUGCUUCCAAGAUAGCUGGCAGAGUCUAAAUGUUAGAAAGCAUCACUGAGUUCAGUGCAAUCAUUUCAAGAUCAUUAAUGCUCAAGACUACAAAGUAAAUAUUUGGACCUGGAAAUAAGUACUGCUGAAUUCAGUGAGUCUUAACCCUGAAUAAAAAUUGGAAUCUGUCUGUUAAGAUUACAUUCUUUAUAUGGCAUUACACCCCUGCUAAGUUAUCCAAAUUCAGUAAUGUAGAAGAUGACAAAUGUUGGAAAUGAUAAACACACAUAGGCACAUAUAUACACAUGUAGUGGCAAUGUCCCCAAAUAAGAUCAUUUUGCAACAAUAUUGUUAAGGUUAUGGAUAGAAUAUUUAGAACAAAAAUAGAUAGAAAACCAGAAACAACUCUACUAGGAAUGACCAAAAAUAAAAUAGUCAAUAGAAAUGUCAACUUAUUUAUCUGUUUAUUAACAAUAGCCAAAAUAGAAAUAGCCGAGAUGUGGGAAACAAAUGAAAUACCAAAGUUAGAAAACUGGGAAAGAAAUAUAUCUAAUAUAAUGGCUAUAGACAAACUUACAUGGAAACUGAGAGGACACCCUGAAAAGUUUUAUAAAACUUAGAAUUUAUUUGUAAAUUAAUAGCGAUAAUAUUUAUAGAAUAUUUUAAAGUAUACAUUCUGGUUUAUUAGACUUUAUAUAAUUGUAAUAAUUAAAUAUAUGACAUAAAUAUUAAGUUGAGAAAGACUGUAAAUUGUAAUUGAGUAUUUAAAUGUUACCUGUUAAAUUUGAAAUGUUAAUUGAUAAUGUUUUGAAAUCAACCAAUAAAGUUAUUUUUUAUAUUA